GGCCGCAAAUUCAUGCAACAAUCUUUUAUUAAAGGAUGAAUUGAAUUUUUUUCCUGUUAUAGUUAGUCAUUGCGCUCGAUUUUUACAUUAUAUUGAUUUUUUCCUAUUUAGUUAAACAUGCUAACAAUAGACAGCCUGUUCUUGAGCUUUAGCCCAAUGCAAAGAUGACAUAUAUUCAAUGACUGCUAGGCAAAUUUGAAAUGAUAUUUUUAACCUCGCAACGAUUUUACAUAUAGCUGAGGAAACCGGGCUUCUGCUCAUUUCACUUCACGGGCAGCACGGAGACUUUUACUGAAGACGGAAAGAAAGUACAACGAAAUAUGGUGAUGAAAGGCUUAUUGAUGAUCUGUUUGUUUCUCGUGGUCUUUGAAUUUUCGCGGGGAAAUAUGAUGUCAGGACAAAUAACUGAGUGCGAAACACAUGGUGGAUUUUGUAUACCUUUCUAUCAAAAUAGUCCAACCUGCGCAGACUAUGGCGCAUUGCCCUACGCAUACUCGUGUCUUUUAGGAGCAAACUGUUGCCGCUAAGACUGAAACUAAGAUGUGGGACAUGCAGGUACACUAAACUUUGUGUUGUGAGUUUGGGUUCAAGUUGAAAGUAGUUACAGAACAAUGGACGAAUGUCAUAUAUAGCUAUAUAUAUAUGCACUAUUUAUGGUGUUCUGAAAUUGUAGAACUAGAUUGGCUGGAACUUUAAUAAAAAUAACGGGUGCGACUAUAAGUGUAUGCUUGGACUUUUUUUUUCUAUAUUUUACUUUGAUUAGUUACAAUAUUACUUUAACUUUUAUAUACUUUUCGCAGUAUUAAAGUGAAUGAGUUUUGCUUUGAUUCUGAUUUUCCUUGAAGUACGCCUAGCGUUUUUUAAAAAGGGGUAAUAUAAUGAACAAGUGACGUGUCAUCGUCAACUGUUUAUGGCGCUUGCGAUAUACAAUUAAACAUAGGAGAAUUAGGUCUAAGGGUCUACGAGAAUUAGGAAGUGUAAUAGAAUUAGGUCUUGAAGCCCUGUCGCAUCGGUUAUAAAUUCUCAUUACCAAAGAUCGAUUGUUUGGACUAAUUGUUUUUAUAUAUAUAAACCGAUUUACAUACGCAUACAUAGGGUAAAUAACUCGACGGAAGACUUGUGCGUGACACUCGCGAGUAUAACGAGUAGCGCGACUGCAUGCGAGUCCGUAUUGGGUACGAAUGGCGAGUUGUUCGAGUCAAUCGCUAGUAGCGAGCAUUCGUAAAAGGAACACAAUGUUUAGUUGUGCUCAAGUAAAUUUUUUUACUUAAUCAUAAGAGAAUAGUUACCUUCACUCGGCUAAUAGGCGUCCAGU